GGAGAGAUGCCAGAGCGGUUGAAUGGGACGCUCUCGAAAAGCGUUGUCCGAGAAAUCGGACCGAGGGUUCGAAUCCCUCCCUCUCCUCCA
rnacentral:tRNA from 1 species